CUUCUGUUUUUUGUCUACGCUUUACUUUUGUUUAUAUUUUAAUUUCUCUUCUUCUUAAAUAUAAUUUGAUUCAAUUGGAGUUACAAUGCAAGGUGAACUUAAAUCAUGUUAACCAGAAUGUCGUCUUAUCGUCAAGUUUUUUUCAUGGUGAUUAUGUUGAUGAUAAUAGUGAAUGGUUAAAUUGUCUCAUCUUUUAUAUGAAAUACAAAAAGGUCAAAUUCAAGUUAUUGUCACCAAAAGUCAGUUGUUGACGUCGCCUUCUCAUUGUUGGCAAACAAAGCCGAAAAGGUUAAACAAUUGGACAGAUGGAAGACAAUCAUUGUGAUUAAAAUCAAUCAUCAAUCAAUCAAAGAUUACUUAUUGAACACCCAAAUUGGAUGGACACAAUUUAAAGCAAUAUAGUGACAAUUUAAAGUUACAGUGAAGAGUAGCUGCAAUCAAGAUUCACUCUGGUUAAGUCAUGAGCAAAUUCAAUGGCAAUAAACGUGUCCAGGAAAAAAGACGCAAAGAUUGGCUAUAAAAUGGCAUCCAUUUGUUUAAUAAUUGAUGUAAUCAAGGAAACCUUGUAUUGGUCAAUUUUUUCAUAAUUUACAUUAAGUAAUGGUUAAGGAUAAGGCCAAUUCAAUAUAUUACACAAACUGCAAGAUUAAUGGUUGUUGCUGGCUAUUAAAGAUGAUGACAAUUGUGGCUAAAAAAUGGCAAAUCAACGUACAAUUGACAAUAUUUUUCCUCAAUCAACAAUAAACCUAAAAAUGUGUUCAAUUCAA